AAUCAACGCUGGCGGCGUGCCUAACACAUGCAAGUCGAACGCGAAAGCCCCGCAAGGGGUGAGUAGAGUGGCAAACGGGUGAGUAACACGUGGGUGACCUGCCUUCGAGUGGGGGAUAACGUCCCGAAAGGGACGCUAAUACCGCAUAACAUCCUGCCUUUGAACAGGUGGACAUCAAAGCUGGGGACCGCAAGGCCUGGCGCUUGAAGAGGGGCCCGCGCCCGAUUAGCUAGUUGGUGGGGUAAGGCUCACCAAGGCAUCGAUCAGUAUCCGGCCUGAGAGGGCGGACGGACACACUGGGACUGAGACACGGCCCAGACUCCUACGGGAGGCAGCAGUGGGGAAUAUUGGACAAUGGGCGCAAGCCUGAUCCAGCCAUGCCGCGUGAGUGAUGAAGGCCUUAGGGUUGUAAAGCUCUUUCGACGGGGACGAUAAUGACGGUACCGUAGAAGAAGCCCGGCUAACUUCGUGCCAGCAGCCGCCGCAGUAAU
rnacentral:rRNA from 1 species